ACAGAGGGUGCAAGCGUUGUUCGGAAUUAUUGGGCGUAAAGCGCGUGUAGGCGGCUUUGCAAGUCGGGUGUGGAAUCCCUCAGCUCAACUGAGGAAGUGCGCCCGAAACCGCUUAGCUUGAGUGCCGGAGAGGAUGGCGGAAUUCCCCAAGUAGAGGUGAAAUUCGUAGAUAUGGGGAGGAACACCGGUGGCGAAGGCGGCCAUCUGGACGGUAACUGACGCUGAGACGCGAAAGCGUGGGUAGCAAACAGG
rnacentral:rRNA from 1 species